GCGCCUGUAGCUCAAUCGGAUAGAGCACCGGCCUUCUAAGCCGGUGGUUGCAGGUUCGAUUCCUGCCAGGCGCGCCA
rnacentral:tRNA from 2 species